UACGUAGGGAGCGAGCGUUGUCCGGAAUUACUGGGUGUAAAGGGAGCGCAGGCGGGAUUGCAAGUCAGGUGUGAAAUACGGAGGCUCAACCUCCGGGCUGCACUUGAAACUGUAGUUCUUGAGUGAAGUAGAGGUAAGCGGAAUUCCUAGUGUAGCGGUGAAAUGCGUAGAUAUUAGGAGGAACAUCGGUGGCGAAGGCGGCUUACUGGGCUUUUACUGACGCUGAGGCUCGAAAGCGUGGGGAG
rnacentral:rRNA from 1 species